rnacentral:rRNA from 1 species
UACAGAGGUCCCAAGCGUUGUUCGGAUUUACUGGGCGUAAAGGGUGCGUAGGUGGUCGGGUAAGUCUCAUGUGAAAUCUCCAAGCUUAACUUGGAAAUGGCAUGGGAUACUAUUCGGCUAGAGGAUUGGAGGGGGGACUGGAAUUCCCGGUGUAGCAGUGAAAUGCGCAGAUAUCAGGAGGAACACCAACGGCGAAGGCAGCUCGCUGGGACGGUACUGACGCUGAGGCGCGAAAGCGUGGGGAGCAAACAGG